GAUGAACGCUGGCGGCGUGCCUAAUACAUGCAAGUCGAGCGAACAGAUGAGGAGCUUGCUCCUCUGACGUUAGCGGCGGACGGGUGAGUAACACGUGGAUAACCUACCUAUAAGACUGGGAUAACUUCGGGAAACCGGAGCUAAUACCGGAUAAUAUAUUGAACCGCAUGGUUCAAUAGUGAAAGACGGUUUUGCUGUCACUUAUAGAUGGAUCCGCGCCGCAUUAGCUAGUUGGUAAGGUAACGGCUUACCAAGGCAACGAUGCGUAGCCGACCUGAGAGGGUGAUCGGCCACACUGGAACUGAGACACGGACCAGACUCCUACGGGAGGCAGCAGUAGGGAAUCUUCCGCAAUGGGCGAAAGCCUGACGGAGCAACGCCGCGUGAGUGAUGAAGGUCUUCGGAUCGUAAAACUCUGUUAUUAGGGAAGAACAAAUGUGUAAGUAACUAUGCACGUCUUGACGGUACCUAAUCAGAAAGCCACGGCUAACUACGUG
rnacentral:rRNA from 1 species